UAUAGUUUUUAAGAAAUAAAAUAAAAAAAAUCAUGUAAUACUACAUCAGUGUUAUGUUAUUGUAUGACUUCAUCUUUUAUACAGUCGGGUUCGGGGUUUCGGGCAGCCAUGGCGAAUUUCGGCAAGAUUUUACCCCAGUGAAAAAGGCUUGUAAUCCACAGUGAUCAACUAAGAUGUUGUUUCACUGGAUUAUUUAAUUGGGCAUAUAAUUGGAUAAUUCUGGAUCAACUGAGAUGUUAUUUCACUGGAUUAUUUAAUGGAUAGACUUAUUGGGCAUAUAUUUGGAUAUCUCUGUCCUCAACCUGGAAGAUAUGUAUUGUUCCUAACCAUCUAUAAUCCAUUCUCUAUGAAGUUCAGACUGUCUGCUCUUCCUUUGGAAAUACACAGUUAGUCAACCAACAUAGAAACACACAAACUUGAAGGAUUCUCUAGUGAGGGCUUAUGGAAAUGAUCUAUGUCUACUCUCAGAAUGGUGAAAGACUAUCAGAUUAUGCAAAGACUAACAGAAUAUCCUCUCUUGGAACACUGAAACAAGAAAAUCAAACAGGAGAUGGAUGGAGGAUUUAAGAAGCACAUAGAUAAAUAUGAUUUCCAACGAAUUUAACCAGUAUUAUCAUAGACUGUGGUUUACAGGAUGACAAAGUAACAGGAUUGUAUCUUUUUACUGUCAGACACUGACUAUGGAUAAGAUGUACCCAUUUAUUAAACUGAGAUCUAGUCAAAUCAAGUACAAUUGUAUUGAAAAUAUGAUUUUCUGAUAGCAUGAACUCUUUAAAAAUUAAUUCUCACAGACCUCAAAGUAUCUGAAUGUGACUUUUAUUUUUACCAAUUUCUAUUGAAGACUGUUGUUAUGUAUGAGAAGUAUACAUUUAAACCUUUUAUUUUUCAUCUUAUUUCUAUAACCCCCUAGAAAUUACACAGAUAUUCAGAUGCUGGAUUUAAUAUUAUUAUUUAACUUUCCUGGAAUGGUAAAUAUAUUUUGUUUGUGUAUGUAUCAUUUUUUAAUUUUGAAUUUAAAAUUGGUCUCAAUAAGACCCCCAAUAAAGAUGCAAGUGUCCCAUAAUCUGUGGUUUAAUAAUAUCUUGAAUAUCUUUAUCAUAUCAUAUUCAUCAUACUAAUUACAUAUUGAAUGUUUGUAGGAAUACACUUUGUUGUUUAGGACACUUUGUCAAGGUCAAAGCAUAAGAUUAUUGAGAUGACUUCUUUGACAAUAAUUUGUAACUUACAAACUUCACAUCAUAAGUACACAGAUGAAGAAUCAAAAAGAUAUUUCUAUAGAUUUUUUGGAUCAUUUACUCCUGGGUAAAAGUUAGUUACUAACUGAGAUUACUGAUUUGAAUCCUGUAAUGCAAUAACUUAAACAUUGUGUGAUAACUUAUAGACUUUAUAAAAAUUAGGUGCAAAUUCUUAGGAAAGGAUUGAAAUGUAAAUCAUAUGCACUAUGUUCAAGGAUGUUUAAAGACUAUUACUAUGUAAUACCUUAGAAUUCUGUAAAAAAUUUAUUAUCACUGCGUAGAUAAAGACUGGUUGGAAUAAUUUAUGUUUUGAAAUAAGGUUUAGGGAAAAAAGUCAAGAAUGUGGAUAUGACUUUUAUUCAAAUGGUGCAGUUCAGCAACUCUGGUGAUUUACAUACCUUCAGUCAUAAAUACAUGUAGAUAGGUAUUGGGAAGACUCCUCUAGAUUUUGAAAUUUUUAAAUCAAAAGUAUAGAAUUUAAGUUUGAAAGAUUAAAUGGCAGCAUAUCAUUUGCUUGUGAAUUAAAAAAUAAAUCCAAACAUAUACAUCUUUGGAUGAUAAUUGUAGAAUUUUAUCAAUUCCUGGAGUUCAGUCUUGAUAUCAUCCUUUAAUGUCCUUAAAAUUUUAAUGACUGUCUUUUAGUUUUAGUUGAAUUAGUUUCUUUUCUAAAUGUGAAAAUGACAUCAUCCAAAGAAGUUCUUCAUCUGCAUGUUAUAUGAAGAAGACAAUUUUCAUCACAGUGACAGAGAUUGUUUUGUUAAACAUAUUGCAUUGAUGCACAAAUAUACUUUUAGAUUUUUAAUAGCUAGAGUUCAUAUUUCUUAAUAUGGAAUGCUAAGUACUGUUGAUUUCAAUUUUUUGUGAACAAAGACAUACUAGUAGAAAAAAAAAUGUACAUGAUGUGUUAGAAAAGCAUGUGUAAACCUGAUGACUUUAUAAUUGCUGAUUAAAUCAAUUAUGAGUUUCAUCUUUGUUACAUUGUAAACAUUUCUAAGUAGUGCACACAUCAGAAAACACUUAA